UGGGGAAUAUUGCACAAUGGGCGCAAGCCUGAUGCAGCCAUGCCGCGUGUAUGAAGAAGGCCUUCGGGUUGUAAAGUACUUUCAGCGGGGAGGAAGGGAGUAAAGUUAAUACCUUUGCUCAUUGACGUUACCCGCAGAAGAAGCACCGGCUAACUCCGUGCCAGCAGCAGCGGUAAUACGGAGGGUGCAAGCGUUAAUCGGAAUUACUGGGCGUAAAGCGCACGCAGGCGGUUUGUUAAGUCAGAUGUGAAAUCCUCGGGCUCAACCUGGGAACUGCAUCUGAUACUGGCAAGCUUGAGUCUCGUAGAGGGGGGUAGAAUUCCAGGUGUAGCGGUGAAAUGCGUAGAGAUCUGGAGGAAUACCGGUGGCGAAGGCGGCCCCCUGGACGAAGACUGACGCUCAGGUGCGAAAGCGUGGGGAGCAAACAGG
rnacentral:rRNA from 1 species